GGGCGCUGUUGAGACGCCGUGACUCCCACCAUGUUUCCCAGACAGCCAGCCCCAAUCGCAGCGGGGCAGACGCACUAAUGCCACGUAGGUUUCAGAGCAGGCAAACGUGAUGGAAAAGAUCAGCAACACACAGUCGGGACGCUCAAAACAUCACGCCAUUAAAGUGGACGGCAGCGCAGAAAAGGAGGGAGACUUUUAAUCAAUACAUCCGUGUGUGUAAGGACAACAAAGCCAUCAAAGCAAACUAGAUCCCCAGGCCGAGGGGGCAGUUGGAAGAGGAAGCGAGGAGAGGACGUUGAGUGGGCUUUGGAUCCUAUCAGACUGGUGGGUGGAGCAGUGCCCGUCGAGUGAAGAGGAAGAGUCACCAUGAGGCAACUAAAAGGCAAAGCCAAGAAGGAAACGUCGCGGGACAAGAAGGAGCGCAAGCAGGCCAUGCAGGAGGCCCGGCAGCAGGUGGCGACGGUGGUGCUGCCCACGUUAGCCGUGGUGGUCAUGAUCAUCGUGGUCUUUGUGUACGUGGCCACCAGGCCAGGAGAAAUAGAGUAGGAACACGCCAGGCCCCGCCCGCCCCUCCAGAGACACAAAACCAUGACUGGAGUCGGUUUCUGUCAAUCGAACUCUUGAGAAUGGCUGUACCCUUCCAGCCUUCUGUCCUCACCAAAUUCUUUCUUUUUUUUCUCUUCCCAACCUGAUUUCCCUUCUCCAGGAAUCAGUUUCAACGACCGGCUUUUGACUUAGGAGUGCAUGGAUGAAUCAAAUCUACAAAGCUGUUUGAACUUCAAGAAACAUUUGAAUUACGAGUGGCUAUUCUUUUUUUUUCGUGGGAUGGAUGAAACCAGGAUACAUUUUGUCAUUUUGUAUUUGAAAAUACAGAGCGAUUCAUGUUUUUAAGUAGCGAUUUAAAAAUAAUCUCCAUUCACCAAAGUGUUCAACUACACAGUAUUUACAUAAUUGUGGCCACAGUCUGUGUACUUUUAUCUGUUGGAAGAUCCCAAAAAGUAUUUUUAGCGACUGUAUUGCUGAUCCAUGCUCUUUCCUCUGAAUGCCUAUUCACAAGCGAUUACCACUCUCAUAAUGUCUGCGGAAUGUAUUGUGAAUGAUUGAGUUAGGAACACAAAGUAGUAAAAUGAAAGCUUAUGCAGUCCUCUGAAAAUAUUCAAAAUCAUAGCCCCCCCCCCCCUACUACAAAAAGUAUUCUGACUCAUUAAGACCUAAAUUCUGUGUGAAUGUAGAUGUGAAACGCAUAUGAAUGUGUUUGAAGUAGACAAACCUGCCACAGAAUAUGAUGCCAUGUGUAUUUUCCAUCCAAACGCUACAUUCUCUUUCUUAAGUUAUUGACGACCAUGAUGAUUAUGGAAUCACCUCAUGACAUCUGUGCAGAUGUAAAAUAUGUGCCUUAUACCCUUCUGAGAAUGAAUUGCCAUUAAUAAAAUGUUAGAAAAAGAAAA